AUUGUCGAAAACAACCCACUCCAGUUAUUACCUAUUCCAUUACUGUAAGUAGGUAGGUAUGCACGCAAAUCUCAAAUCAUCGCAAACGCUCCCCAGUGUGUGCUGCCCAUACUCUAACUAUACAAUGCUGUUCGGUUUCUGUUUUGUGUAAACAUGUACCGGAAAAAAAAUCCAAACACCAUAGGAGGGGAAAUUAGAAGAUGAUCUUGUGUGGCGGCUACGAACGUUUCAUAAACGGGCAGGUAUUUUAGGCAGACGGCCCUCUCACGUGGCUUCUAUUCCAUAACGAUGUAACGGAAAGCAUUCAUGAGUCAUCCGUUUUUCGUGGGGCCCUAAUGACGCUGAUCUGUUUUAUCAUACGUUGCAGUGAUUGAAACGGCAGCGUUUCCCAAACCGUGGAUAACGUUGCAUUCAACGUGUUGAAUUGCAAGCACAUAUCUAGUCCACACGGCUUAUUAUAGCCUGAAAAUAAGCAUUUGUAAUUGUAACGAAAUUGUAAAUUUUUUAUCAUAGACAUCGAAUUUUCGGUUUUUGAAUAAAGCAUUCUAAAGCAAAGGGGUUCUGAAGAAAUCGGAA